rnacentral:misc_RNA from 1 species
UCUACUAUUACCACUCUAUUCCACUCCAAACAAACAACAAAAGAAAAAUGUUUUGGGUUAAUAAAAGAAAAUAAAAAAAUAUAAUUUCUCUUCACCUCUACUCAUUUCUUUCAUCUAUAUGCUAUCCAAACAAACAAAAGAAAUAUGAGAAAUCACAUUUCUUUUCUUUUUUAUUCUCUCUAUUUUCCUCAACUAUGAAAUAUCACACAUACACAAAAAAAAAUUUAAAAAAAAAAAUCAAAAUAACACUCAUAAAUUGAUUGUGCAUGAAAACACAGAAAAUUUUCCUAAUGCUAUAGUAAAAACAAAAAUUUCAGAACACAAGAAGCUAAAAACAAUUAAGAUUACCUCCUCUGUGAGAUGGAAGAUAAAGGGCAUUCCUCAGCUGCUUUAAAGACAUAGUCGAUGUAUUAUUUGAAAACCUGCAGCAACAAGCUCAAGAAUACGUGCAUAGCCCAACUUUUGCCCGUUUAAUCCUAACUAACCAGCAGCAAAAGCUAUUCUAAAUCAGAUAGUAUAAGAACUCAAAGAUGGUCAGUCUCCUCUUUGAUGCAUAAACUACAGGUGACAGGACAACCUGCUUUAAAGACCAUAUACAAAACUCUAUAUUAAUGAGUUGAAGUAGGUGCACCAGUACUUUCCAAUCCCAUCUUCUGCCCCAAAAGUGUUAGCUGCUCAACAAACUCCACUCCAGUGAGAAUUUCUGUUGUUCCAUAUAUAAUAUGCUUGACAGGCUGCUGGCGCUGUGCAAGCUCUAGCAAGCUGCCGUACUCCACGUAAUUACCACCACCAAUCAUGAAAACCAUAGCUUCUUUAAAUGGCCCUUUGAGAUGGCUGCUACCAGCCCCUGACUUGGGAGCACGAGGAUCAAACACAAGGUAAGAGUCAAUUUCAGGAUUAGGUUUCCCCUCCACCAAAGCUUCCACAGUCCUUGUUAAUGCUAGCUGCCUAUCACUAGAUAAUAAAUUCUUCACACCAGCUGUCACUGCACUAAUCGACUGUCCAUAAAGCUUUUCGGCCCAAUCAACAAUAUUACUUCGACUUGCAGAAUUUGCUGAUGCCAAUGAAACAUUCAAGGACUUGAUUUUCUUCACAUAUUGGAAUGCACAAGUAUCAACCUCAGACUCCCUAAGAGCUGCUUCCACUGAUUCGACUUCUGCCUGGUUAAUGCUAUCAGAUGAUAUAAGGUAAAUGAUUGCAAAUCUCAGCUUAUCCAUCUUGGUCCCUUUCCCUCUAAGCACUCCCAAAAGUUCAUUUCGAUCAAUCCCACCUCUGACCAUCAUGUCAUUCUCCUUUUUGGCAUACGAAUCAAGGGACCUCUCCUUGAUCUCACCCAAUAACACAGUUGCAAUGUUCGUGUGCUUAUCAAUCACCUGCUUCCGCUCCGUCAACUCAGGCAGUGAGUUCACUGCAUUCAUCAAAUGUUUUGUAUUACCAAUCAGAUCUGUUCCAUCAAAUUCUGCCCCAUCUGUUCCGCCAGUCCUCCUAUUCACCUCAUCAACAUCCUUCUUGUACUUGUUCAAUUGCGUCUCAAUUUCCACUGCGACUUCAGGAAAUUCCAGAGAUCCAUUUGCAACCCAGAAAGGGUCAGAACUAUCCAACUCAUAUGACUUCAUCCCUCCCUUUUCCUCCUGCACACUCAACCUAUUCAGCUUCAACCCAAGCACAUCAUGAACCAGAGGGCGAUACCUAAAAUCAUGCUGUAUCCCAAUUGCCAAUUCAAAAUUUCUAUCAAAUAUGCACAAAAUUGGCCUCUGAAAUGAGCUCAUAAAACCUCCACCUUCGGAAAACAGAUUGUUCUUUGACAAUAAAUGAUCCCUCAACCUCUGAUCCAAUGCUGAUGCCACCAUCUCUGCCGGCCCUCCCCGUGGGCACCUGAUAACGGGAACAACAGCGAGGGUUGCCAGCACGCAAAACAAACCACUAACAAUCUUCUCAAUUAUCUCCUCAAUCUCCCUAUCCCCAGCAGAUGGAUCAUUCAAUUGAACAUAGCUAGAUUUCUGGGCUAGUGAAAACAAGUUAUCCUCCAAAGUGACAAACUCCAAAUACUGAUCAUGCACUUUGGAGAUCCUAUGUAUAGAUUCCGAAUUCAGGGUCCCAGAUGCAAGAUCCUCAAGAAGUGGACGAGGGAUUGAAGACGAAAAAUUCAGGUGGAAGCUAUCAUAAAGCAAGCAAGAUGCAUCAGCAAUAAUUCUUUGAACGUUGAUUUGACUGGGUUGAACAAAAUACACAGCAGGGACAUCAUGAACAGGUUUUCGAUCCUUGUCAAUGAGGAAAUAGAGGGUAACACCAUGCUUGCGCAGAUCCUUGACAUGAAUCAAUGGGGAUAAAAUAUUUUGACAAUAUUUAUCAUAAAUCAAAAUCUUGUAGACCUCUUCAUUGGCAGUACCAGUUGCAUUUACAGGUUGAUUCAGGUUUAGCAUCCGAACUAUGCAUUCGGUUUGUUUUUGACGCAGAUUGAGAGCCAUGACCGAGAAAACUUUGAUUUUUGAAAAUUGAGUAAAAUUUUGUUCCCUAAACCAAGUAUUUUCUUCAAAGCUCAGUGCAAGGCUUCAACGAAUUUGAUAGUUCUUUCCUUCAGUCGCAGUGGUGCUGUACUGCCAUGGGGACUGGAGAGGAGAGAUCUGGUGACAGAGGCGUAAAACACCACACCCACACACCCACCCGCCGCUCGUCCUACCGCAAUUUGGGCUCGUACAGUCCACAAUCUCGG